AGUGAACGCUGGCGGUAGGCCUAACACAUGCAAGUCGAACGGCAGCACAGUAAGAGCUUGCUCUUACGGGUGGCGAGUGGCGGACGUGUGAGGAAUACAUCGGAAUCUACUUUUUCGUGGGGGAUAACGUAGGGAAACUUACGCUAAUACCGCAUACGACCUACGGGUGAAAGCAGGUGAUCUUCGGACCUUGCGCGAUUGAAUGAGCCGAUGUCGGAUUAGCUAGUUGGCGGGGUAAAGGCCCACCAAGGCGACGAUCCGUAGCUGGUCUGAGAGGAUGAUCAGCCACACUGGAACUGAGACACGGUCCAGACUCCUACGGGAGGCAGCAGUGGGGAAUAUUGGACAAUGGGCGCAAGCCUGAUCCAGCCAUACCGCGUGGGUGAAGAAGGCCUUCGGGUUGUAAAGCCCUUUUGUUGGGAAAGAAAAGCAGCAGGUUAAUACCCCGCUGUUCUGACGGUACCCAAAGAAUAAGCACCGGCUAACUUCGUG
rnacentral:rRNA from 1 species